rnacentral:rRNA from 1 species
CUUGACGACCAUAGAGCGUUGGAACCACCUGAUCCCAUCCCGAACUCAGCAGUGAAACGAUGCAUCGCCGAUGGUAGUGUGGGGUUUCCCCAUGUGAGAGUAGGUCAU